AGAGUUUGAUCAUGGCUCAGAUUGAACGCUGGCGGCAGGCCUAACACAUGCAAGUCGAACGGUAACAGGAAGCAGCUUGCUGCUUCGCUGACGAGUGGCGGACGGGUGAGUAAUGUCUGGGAAGCUGCCUGAUGGAGGGGGAUAACUACUGGGAACGGUAGCUAAUACCGCAUAAUGUCGCAAGACAAAAGAGGGGGACCUUCGGGCCUCUUGCCAUCGGAUGUGCCCAGAUGGGAUUAGCUUGUUGGUGGGGUAACGGCUCACCAAGGCGACGAUCCCUAGCUGGUCUGAGAGGAUGACCAGCCACACUGGAACUGAGACACGGUCCAGACUCCUACGGGAGGCAGCAGUGGGGAAUAUUGCACAAUGGGCGCAAGCCUGAUGCAGCCAUGCCGCGUGUAUGAAGAAGGCCUUCGGGUUGUAAAGUACUUUCAGCGGGGAGGAAGGGAGUAAAGUUAAUACCUUUGCUCAUUGACGUUACCCGCAGAAGAAGCACCGGCUAACUCCGUGCCAGCAGCCGCGGUAAUACGGAGGGUGCAAGCGUUGAUCGGAAUUACUGGGCGUAAAGCGCACGCAGGCGGUUUGUUAAGUCAGAUGUGAAAUCCCCGGGCUCAACCUGGGAACUGCAUCUGAUACUGGCAAGCUUGAGUCUCGUAGAGGGGGGUAGAAUUCCAGGUGUAGCGGUGAAAUGCGUAGAGAUCUGGAGGAAUACCGGUGGCGAAGGCGGCCCCCUGGACGAAGACUGACGCUCAGGUGCGAAAGCGUGGGGAGCAAACAGGAUUAGAUACCCUGGUAGUCCACGCCGUAAACGAUGUCGACUUGGAGGUUGUGCCCUUGAGGCGUGGCUUCCGGAGCUAACGCGUUAAGUCGACCGCCUGGGGAGUACGGCCGCAAGGUUAAAACUCAAAUGAAUUGACGGGGGCCCGCACAAGCGGUGGAGCAUGUGGUUUAAUUCGAUGCAACGCGAAGAACCUUACCUGGUCUUGACAUCCACGGAAGUUUUCAGAGAUGAGAAUGUGCCUUCGGGAACCGUGAGACAGGUGCUGCAUGGCUGUCGUCAGCUCGUGUUGUGAAAUGUUGGGUUAAGUCCCGCAACGAGCGCAACCCUUAUCCUUUGUUGCCAGCGGUCCGGCCGGGAACUCAAAGGAGACUGCCAGUGAUAAACUGGAGGAAGGUGGGGAUGACGUCAAGUCAUCAUGGCCCUUACGACCAGGGCUACACACGUGCUACAAUGGCGCAUACAAAGAGAAGCGACCUCGCGAGAGCAAGCGGACCUCAUAAAGUGCGUCGUAGUCCGGAUUGGAGUCUGCAACUCGACUCCAUGAAGUCGGAAUCGCUAGCAAUCGUGGAUCAGAAUGCCACGGUGAAUACGUUCCCGGGCCUUGUACACACCGCCCGUCACACCAUGGGAGUGGGUUGCAAAAGAAGUAGGUAGCUUAACCUUCGGGAGGGCGCUUACCACUUUGUGAUUCAUGACUGGGGUGAAGUCGUAACAAGGUAACCGUAGGGGAACCUGCGGUUG
rnacentral:rRNA from 1 species